rnacentral:rRNA from 1 species
AGUGAACGCUGGCGGUAGGCCUAACACAUGCAAGCCGAACGGCAGCACAGUAAGAGCUUGCUCUUACGGGUGGCGAGUGGCGGACGGGUGAGGAAUACAUCGGAAUCUACUUUUUCGUGGGGGAUAACGUAGGGAAACUUACGCUAAUACCGCAUACGACCUACGGGUGAAAGCAGGGGAUCUUCGGACCUUGCGCGAUUGAAUGAGCCGAUGUCGGAUUAGCUAGUUGGCGGGGUAAAGGCCCACCAAGGCGACGAUCCGCAGCUGGUCUGAGAGGAUGAUCAGCCACACUGGAACUGAGACACGGUCCAGACUCCUACGGGAGGCAGCAGUGGGGAAUAUUGGACAAUGGGCGCAAGCCUGAUCCAGCCAUACCGCGUGGGUGAAGAAGGCCUUCGGGUUGUAAAGCCCUUUUGUUGGGAAAGAAAAGCAGCAGGUUAAUACCCCGCUGUUCUGACGGUACCCAAAGAAUAAGCACCGGCUAACUUCGUG